rnacentral:rRNA from 1 species
GACGUAGGGUGCGAGCGUUGUCCGGAUUUAUUGGGCGUAAAGAGCUCGUAGGCGGCUCGUCGCGUCGGUUGUGAAAACUCUAGGCUUAACCUGGAGCUUGCAACCGAUACGGGCGGGCUAGAGUUCGGUAGGGGAGACUGGAAUUCCUGGUGUAGCGGUGAAAUGCGCAGAUAUCAGGAGGAACACCGGUGGCGAAGGCGGGUCUCUGGACAGUUCCUGACGCUGAGGCACGAAGGCCAGGGGAGCAAACGGG